rnacentral:rRNA from 1 species
UGGGGAAUAUUGCACAAUGGGCGCAAGCCUGAUGCAGCCAUGCCGCGUGUGUGAAGAAGGCCUUCGGGUUGUAAAGCACUUUCAGCGGGGAGGAAGGCGAUAAGGUUAAUAACCUUGUCGAUUGACGUUACCCGCAGAAGAAGCACCGGCUAACUCCGUGCCAGCAGCCGCGGUAAUACGGAGGGUGCAAGCGUUAAUCGGAAUUACUGGGCGUAAAGCGCACGCAGGCGGUCUGUCAAGUCGGAUGUGAAAUCCCCGGGCUCAACCUGGGAACUGCAUUCGAAACUGUCAGGCUAGAGUCUUGUAGAAGGGGGUAGGAUUCCAGGUGUAGCGGUGAAGUGCGUAGAGAUCUGUAGGAAUAACGGUGGCGAAGGCGGCCCCCUGAACAAAUACUGACGAUCAGGUGCGAAAGCGAGGGGAGCAAACAGG